UGUUCUCAGGGCGGGGCGCAAUUCCCCACCGGCGGUAUGUGAAGUCUUUCACGAGCCCGCGAGCGGCCCAUCAAGGGUGUCAGCAGAUCUGGUGAGAUGCCAGAGCCGACGGUCAUAGUCCGGAUGAAAGAGAGCG
rnacentral:ncRNA from 1 species